CGCGUAGGCGGUGUUUUAAGUGAGAUGUGCAAUCCCCGAGCUUAACUUGGGAACUGCAUCUCAGACUGGAACGCUAGAGUGCUGGAGAGGGUGGUAGAAUUCCACGUGUAGCGGUGAAAUGCGUAGAGAUGUGGAGGAAUACCAGUGGCGAAGGCGGCCACCUGGACAGUAACUGACGCUGAGGCGCGAAAGUGUGGGUAGCAAACAGGAUUAGAUACCCUGGUAGUCCACGCUGUAAACGAUGAACACUUGGUGUGGUGGGAGUUCGACCCCUGCCGUGCCGUAGCUAACGCGAUAAGUGUUCCGCCUGGGGAGUACGGUCGCAAGGCUGAA
rnacentral:rRNA from 1 species